CCUGCUUCAUCCUGUCCAUGUGUGAUGUCUGGAUCUGUCGCUCCUUUGGGGUUUCCUGUCCAGGUUUUGGCUGUAAACUUUAAGUGCAACAAUCUGAAUGUAGAUGGAAGAAACCGGACCAGCAAAAUGAAGACAACCAAUAAAUUAAAGUACAGUACCCAAAUACUUCUGAGGUAAACAGGCUCUCAGCAUUUUUAAUAUCUCUGCUUGCUGUAAGUGAAUAAAAACAUGUUUGUAUACAAGAGAAAGCAUCAGGGAAGUCUAAAUUUUAAGAACUCGACAUGGUAGGAGUAUAGACAAGAAGAGAUGAUCCGGCUCUUUCAGAGAAGAUUUUCCAUCCACAGACAAUUCCGGAGAUAUUACGCCCCGGAGCUCCUCCAGUCCUCGUCCCAUCACAUCAUAAAGUUGACUUAGAUCCAUAGACGGACACUUUGUCCAGAAGAAAAGACUCGAGUGGUGACAGUGAUGACCCAGAGCUGAUAAAGGUGCAUAUAUAUAUAUAUAUAUUAAAAUAUUUUAUGUAUGAAGCGCCGGGGCGAGAAACCUCCUCCUGCAAGAUUAUCAUUACUACGGAUGAAAACUGAGCUAAAAACACAAGGUUUAUAAAUCUGAUUCCUCGCCCUCAGGAGGCAGAACCAUCGCCCUCAUUUCAUUAAGAAAUCCGUCCAAACCGAAUGCAAUGUUCAGACAUGGAAUACAGAUGCAAGAUGUGUUAAAUAUGGCGCAUAAGGAGAUCUGGUAUAUCCGGUACAUACAACAUCCAAUCUCUACUGCGCAUUUUAAUCUAUAUACAAAUUUGUGUGAAAAACAAAAGUAUUCAACCCCCCUUUCCAGGUGUCAUUUAUUAUUGUAUUUGUCACUGAA